UCAGCAGCUCAGAAUGUGACCUAUUUAAAAAUAGGGUCAUUACAGGUAUAACUAGUUAAAUUAAGAUAUGGUCAUAGGGUGUGCCCUAAUCCAUUAUGACUGGUAUUCUCAUAAAAAUAGGAAAUGCGGAGACAGACACAUGUACUCACUCAGGCAGAACACCAUGUGAAAAUGAAGGCAACAAGCUGUAACCCAAGGAAAUUCCAAAGAUCGCAGGCAAACCACAAGAAGGUAGAAGAAUAGGAUGGAACAGUGGCUCACAGCUCUCAGAAGUAAUCAACCUGCCAACUUGGAUUUUGGCCUUCUAACAUCCAGAAAUGUAGUCUUCCUGAAGUAAAGAUGCAAAGCCAACAGAUGGAGAGAAACAGAGGUUCACGGGCAUACAGGGAAUGCAGCAUGUGAAGAUGGAGGAUGAGAGAUGAGCUUGGAGUUAUGCUCCCACAAGCUGCAGAACAACUGGGGCUAACAGAAGCUGAGAGAUGCGACCCUCCCCUAGAGGUUACAGACGGAGCACAGCCCUACCAACACCUGAUUUUGGACUUCUGGCCUCUAGAAGUGUGAGAGAAUAAACUUCUGUCAUUUUAAGUCACCCUGUGUAUGGUACUUUGCUGUGGCAGUCCUAAGAAACUAAUACAAGCAUCUGCUAUGAACAAGACACCAGGAAUAUUGCUCAGGUAAUAGUGGAGAAAAGGACAAAGACUCUGCCUUAAGUAUGCUAAUAGGUUAUUCAGUGCAACAAGAGUAAUAUAAACAAAACUAUAAACAGGUAUUGUUUGUUGGGAGAGUUUUAAGUGAUUUGAUAUUACUGUAGAAAUAAAAAGUGUAGAAAUAAAAAUAAAAAAUAAAAAACUGAGUAGAAAGUUGAGUAGUAGACAGAUUAUUUUUAAAAAGAGUUUGGGAUUAACCUUGUUGAUAUGAGUUAUGGAUUAUGGUUUAAAGUAGAAAAUGAUAUGUUUAUACUUUUAACAGGUCACUCUGAUAUCAGCAAUGUAAUUUAUUUGUUCUGGGUAAUACCAGAAUAGACCAGUUAGGAAGGAAGAGUAAGAGGCGAAGCAAGAGAGAAAAGGAGGAUCUGAAUGGAGGCAGUAAAACCAACAAUGACUUUCAAGCCAAAUGAGUUUGAACGUCAACCACUGUAGAAGGGGCUAUAUGAAACCAAUGUUUUAAAAAAGAAUAUUGCUUAAGGCAGUGCACUAACAAAAAAGAAAAAUCUGCAAAAAUAGGUUAAAAAAAGAUAGGUAAAAAUUAGUCCUUCUACUUAGAAACCAAGGAUAUAAUGUAGAGGUAACAUGAACACACACACACACACACACACACACACGCACACAUUGAGUUGUUACUGGUGUAGGAGCCAGGGACAAAUUUACAUGUGAGAGCUGCCUGAAUAGCUGGGCUAAGAGCAUGGGAGAUGUGAGAGUCCUAUUCAGGUGUCAUAGAAGAAAAAGAGAUUUCCACAAAGGGAGUAAUUUUAAGUCCUGAUUUAGCUGGGCAUUUGCAAUUCACCAUGACUUAAGAUUUGUUUUUGACAAACUCAUGAUUUCCCAAUCUAUUGUGUUAGAAAACCAUUAAAAU
rnacentral:lncRNA from 1 species